rnacentral:piRNA from 1 species
UNGAACCCAGAGAGGAUAAGAAACUGCCUCA